rnacentral:lncRNA from 1 species
CUCAAACCAUCCCAAACUGCUCUUCUAUGAAUGAAUUCAAACACAAAAACUGCCUGCGUGUUGUCUGCAGGAGUUCAAACUUAAGAUGUGUCAACAUGAACACUGUGGCCGCCUCAGCUAUUGUUAGUCCCAUUGCCAGGCACCUAAUAAUUCCAUACUGGAAAAGGUUUGUGCUGUCUCAGCAGGGAAACAGGCAGCCAUGUGGUAGAGGCUAUCCAGUUAUGAGGAGUUUUUUAGGAAACACCGUAAACACGUUUUCCUUCAGGAACCUUUUCUUGAGUCAAAGGCAGGAAAAAAAAAAGUCAACCUUAUUAAUUCAUGGUGUUGCAAGAAGGAAAGAGUGCCAAACAUCCUGCCCAUGACGAUCCUUGGGGAGAGAAUACAAGAAACAGGGCAAGCCCUGAGGAAUCCUUGCCAUCGCCCAGUGCUGCUGGCUCUGCUUCUGCUGAGGGAGGACCUCUUCUGCCUAGGUAGGCCUGCCUGUGGGGCUGUUGUCCUUCAUUGGGCACACAUUAUCCUUUGUUGUCUUUCCUUUUCCUUCACUGACCUCCCUUUCUUUUGCCCGUGUGGAGCCUCAGCCCAGUUACCUUUCUUGUGACCCCCUGGAAGGACAAUGACAAGAGAUGAGAUCUUGAGAUGUCACAAGGCCGGCCAAGAAAGGAACCCCUUUUUGGCAUGAAUGCAACAUGAUCAAAAUCAGAAGA